rnacentral:rRNA from 1 species
AGGACGAACGCUGGCGGCGUGCUUAACACAUGCAAGUCGAGCGGUAAGGCCCUUUCGGGGGUACACGAGCGGCGAACGGGUGAGUAACACGUGAGUAAUCUGCCCUUCACUUCGGGACUAACCACCGGAAACGGUGGCUAAUACCGGAUAUGACCUGCUACCGGCAUGGUGGUGGGUGGAAAGUUCU